rnacentral:rRNA from 1 species
AACGAACGCUGGCGGCGCGCCUAACACAUGCAAGUCGAACGAGAAGCUGUAGCAAUACAGUUGUACAGUGGCGAACGGGUGAGGAAUACAUGGGUGACCUACCCUCGAGUGGGGAAUAACCAGCCGAAAGGUUGGCUAAUACCGCGUACGUUUCCCAGUCUGCGGAUUGGGAAGGAAAGCGAUGCCGUGGGUAUCGCGCUCAAGGUUGGGCUCAUGUCCUAUCAGCUGUUGGUGAGGUAACGGCUCACCAAGGCAACGACGGGUAGCUGGUCUGAGAGGACGAUCAGCCACACUGGCACUGCGACACGGGCCAGACUCCUACGGGGAGGCAGCAGUGAGGAAUAUUGCGCAAUGGGCGAAAGCCUGACGCAGCGACGCCGC